CUACUCCUUUAAAAAAAAAAAAAAAGACUUUGGAGGAACACAGAGACCAGCAUAGUCCCUGCACAAGGAGGACAGGCCAGUAUAUGAAGCAUUCCACGGUUUU
rnacentral:snRNA from 14 species